AGGACGAACGCUGGCGGCGUGCUUAACACAUGCAAGUCGAGCGGAAAGGCCCUUCGGGGUACUCGAGCGGCGAACGGGUGAGUAACACGUGAGCAACCUGCCCUUAGCUCCGGGAUAGCUCCGGGAAACCGGAAUUAAUACCGGAUACGACCACGGCCGACAUCUGCUGUGGUGGAAAGGAUUCCGGCUAAGGAUGGGCUCGCGGCCUAUCAGCUAGUUGGUGGAGUAACGGCCCACCAAGGCGACGACGGGUAGCCGGCCUGAGAGGGCGACCGGCCACACUGGGACUGAGACACGGCCCAGACUCCUACGGGAGGCAGCAGUGGGGAAUAUUGCGCAAUGGAGGAAACUCUGACGCAGCGACGCCGCGUGGGUGAUGAAGGCCUUCGGGUCGUAAAGCCCUGUCGGAGGGAAGAAAAGCGGUUUGGCUAAUAUCCAAGCCGCUCUUGACGGUACCCUCAAAGGAAGCACCGGCUAACUCCGCGCCAGCAGCCGCGGU
rnacentral:rRNA from 1 species